GUGCCAGCCGCCGCGGUAAUACGUAGGUGGCAAGCGUUGUCCGGAUUUAUUGGGCGUAAAGCGAGCGCAGGCGGUUUCUUAAGUCUGAUGUGAAAGCCCCCGGCUCAACCGGGGAGGGUCAUUGGAAACUGGGAGACUUGAGUGCAGAAGAGGAGAGUGGAAUUCCAUGUGUAGCGGUGAAAUGCGUAGAGAUGUGGAGGAACACCAGUGGCGAAGGCGACUCUCUGGUCUGUAACUGACGCUGAGGAGCGAAAGCGUGGGGAGCGAACAGGAUUAGAUACCCCGGUAGUCC
rnacentral:rRNA from 1 species